rnacentral:rRNA from 1 species
AGUGAACGCUGGCGGCAGGCCUAACACAUGCAAGUCGAGCGGCAGCGCGUCCGACCACCCUCGGGUGGUCGGAUGGCGGCGAGCGGCGGACGGGUGAGGAAUGCAUCGGAAUCUGCCUCGUUGUGGGGGAUAACGUAGGGAAACUUACGCUAAUACCGCAUACGACCUACGGGUGAAAGUGGGGGACCUUCGGGCCGUCACGCGAUGAGAUGAGCCGAUGCCGGAUUAGCUAGUUGGCGGGGUAAAGGCCCACCAAGGCGACGAUCUGUAGCGGGUCUGAGAGGAUGAUCCGCCACACUGGGACUGAGACACGGCCCAGACUCCUACGGGAGGCAGCAGUGGGGAAUUUUGGACAAUGGGCGCAAGCCUGAUCCAGCCAUGCCGCGUGCGGGACGAAGGCC